UUCCCUCCGAAGUUUCCCUCAGGAUAGCUGGAACUUACGGCAGUUUUAUCAGGUAAAGCGAAUGAUUAGAGGUCUUAGGGUUAAAACAACCUUAACCUAUUCUCAAACUUUAAAUUGGUAAGAAGUCCGACUUGCUUAAUUGAAGCCGGACAGUGAAUGCGAGUUCCUAGUGGGCCAUUUUUGGUAAGCAGAACUGGCGAUGCGGGAUGAACCGAACGCGCGGUUAAGGUGCCAAAGUCGACGCUCAUCAGACCCCACAAAAGGUGUUGGUUGCUCUAGACAGCAGGACGGUGGCCAUGGAAGUUGGAAUCCGCUAAGGAGUGUGUAACAACUCACCUGCCGAAGCAACUAGCCCUGAAAAUGGAUGGCGCUCAAGCGUCGCACCUAUACCGUGCCGUCGGAGCAGAUGCGAAGCUCCGACGAGUAGGAGGGCGUGGGGGUCGUGACGCAGCCUCUGGCGCGAGCCUGGGUGAAACGGCCUCCAGUG
rnacentral:rRNA from 1 species